rfam:Schistosoma haematobium scaffold3024_3, whole genome shotgun sequence.
AGCUUUUCGAAUCCGUGCUGAGAUUUCGUCAGACAUCAACCCACUACGGCUGAUCAAACUUCCAAGAUAGGUGAAGUC